UGGGGGAUAUUGCACAAUGGGCGAAAGCCUGAUGCAGCGACGCCGCGUGGGGGAUGAAGGCCUUCGGGUUGUAAACUUCUUUUGCUCUGAACAAGGCAUGCCUUUGGGGUGUGUUGAGUGUAGGGGUUGAUUAGCGCCGGCUAACUACGUGCCAGCAGCCGCGGUAAUACGUAGGGCGCGAGCGUUGUCCGGAAUUAUUGGGCGUAAAGGGCUUGUAGGUGGCUGGUUGCGUCUGUCGUGAAAGCUCAUGGCUUAACUGUGGGUUUGCGGUGGGUACGGGCUGGCUUGAGUGCAGUAGGGGAGGCUGGAAUUCCUGGUGUAGCGGUGGAAUGCGCAGAGAUCAGGAGGAAUACCGGUGGCGAAGGCGGGUCUCUGGGCUGUUACUGACGCUGAGGAGCGAAAGCGUGGGGAGCGAACAGG
rnacentral:rRNA from 1 species